rnacentral:rRNA from 1 species
GACGAACGCUGGCGGCGUGCCUAACACAUGCAAGUCGAGCGGGGUUGAGGCGAGAGGUAACUCGAGCUUCUACCUAGCGGCGGACGGGUGAGUAACGCGUGGGCAACCUGCCUCAAGGUUUGGGAUAACAGCCCGAAAGGGCUGCUAAUACCGGAUAUGCCUAUGGCCUCGCAUGGGGCUAUGAGCAAAGGGGAAACCCGCCUUGAGAUGGGCCCGCGUCCCAUCAGCUAGUUGGUGAGGUAACAGCUCACCAAGGCGACGACGGGUAGCCGGCCUGAGAGGGUGACCGGCCACACUGGGACUGAGACACGGCCCAGACUCCUACGGGGGGCAGCAGUGGGGGAUCUUGCACAAUGGGCGAAAGCCUGAUGCAGCGACGCCGCGUGAGCGAAGAAGGCCUCGGUUGUAAGCUCUGUCUGGAGGGACGGAAGGAAGUAGACGGUACCGUCCGGACGGAAGCCGACGGCGUAACUAACGUGCCAGCAGCCGCGGUAAGUCAUACUCGUAC